GGCGGCGGCGGCGGCGGCUUAGGCGGCAGCGCUCGCCAUUGCCGCUGGUGGCAGGAGGCUGCGAGGAGCCGGCGCGGUCGCAGUCUCCACGGCGCAGGCCCACGGUAGCGCAGCCGCUCUGAGUAGAUCUUCAUGGAGGAACACGGAGUGACCCAAACUGAACACAUGGCUACCAUAGAAGCCCAUGCAGUGGCCCAACAAGUUCAGCAGGUCCAUGUGGCUACCUACACUGAACACAGUAUGUUGAGUGCUGAUGAAGACUCACCUUCUUCUCCUGAGGACACCUCGUAUGAUGAUUCAGACAUACUCAACUCCACAGCGGCUGAUGAGGUAACAGCCCAUCUGGCUGCUGCAGGUCCUGUGGGAAUGGCUGCUGCUGCUGCUGUGGCAACAGGAAAGAAACGGAAACGGCCUCAUGUGUUUGAGUCUAAUCCAUCUAUCCGGAAGAGACAGCAAACACGUUUGCUUAGGAAACUUCGAGCCACAUUAGAUGAAUAUACUACUCGAGUGGGACAGCAAGCUAUUGUCCUUUGUAUCUCACCCUCCAAACCCAACCCUGUCUUUAAAGUGUUCGGUGCAGCACCUUUGGAGAAUGUGGUGCGUAAGUACAAGAGCAUGAUCCUGGAAGACCUGGAGUCUGCCCUGGCAGAGCACGCCCCUGCGCCACAGGAGGUUAACUCAGAGCUGCCGCCUCUCACCAUUGAUGGAAUUCCAGUCUCUGUGGACAAAAUGACUCAGGCCCAGCUUCGGGCAUUUAUUCCAGAGAUGCUUAAGUACUCCACAGGUCGGGGAAAACCAGGCUGGGGUAAAGAAAGCUGCAAGCCCAUCUGGUGGCCUGAAGAUAUCCCAUGGGCAAACGUUCGGAGCGAUGUCCGCACAGAAGAGCAAAAGCAGAGGGUUUCAUGGACCCAGGCACUACGGACCAUAGUUAAAAACUGUUAUAAACAGCAUGGGCGGGAGGACCUUUUGUAUGCUUUUGAAGAUCAGCAAACACAAACACAGGCCACAACCACACACAGUAUAGCCCAUCUUGUACCAUCACAGACCGUAGUCCAGACCUUUAGUAACCCUGAUGGCACUGUCUCGCUUAUCCAGGUUGGUACAGGGGCAACAGUAGCCACAUUGGCUGAUGCUUCAGAAUUGCCAACCACAGUCACGGUUGCCCAAGUGAAUUAUUCUGCUGUGGCUGAUGGAGAGGUGGAACAAAAUUGGGCCACGUUACAGGGAGGUGAGAUGACCAUCCAGACGACACAAGCAUCAGAGGCUACCCAGGCGGUGGCAUCAUUGGCAGAGGCUGCAGUGGCAGCUUCUCAGGAGAUGCAACAGGGAGCCACAGUCACCAUGGCACUCAACAGCGAAGCUGCCGCCCAUGCUGUCGCCACCCUGGCCGAGGCCACCUUGCAAGGGGGGGGACAGAUAGUCCUGUCUGGGGAAACCGCAGCAGCUGUCGGAGCACUUACUGGAGUCCAAGAUGCUAAUGGAGUAAUCACCGGUUCUACCCAAUUCUGGAAGACCCCUCGAGGUACUUUAUCCCACGAGCUCAUGCCACUUCCCCUCUGUCCUCUCAGACGUGCUGCACAGCCCCCUUCCUGGGCCCUCCUGCUGCCCCCAAGCUCCCUACAGUGGAUUCUCUGUCUCCUAGACCCCACGGCCACUUAUUUCUUAAGUUUUCUCUCUCGUUUCUGUAGGGCACAUCCUUCAGAGCUUCCAAAGAAAGUGUGCGUGGCGGGCCAGUUUUUAGAGCCCGUACAAGUCUGCAGAUGUGUUUAUUCUGCCCCCACGCUUAACUGACCUGGGUGUCGUUUCAUAGUCCGGAGAGAGAAUUCUAGGCUGAAAGCAUUUUCUCUCAGACAUUUGAGAACAUUGCUCCAUCAUCUUCUAGCCUCCAGGCUUGCUUUUGAGAAGUCCAACAAUAUUAUGAUUUCCAGUUCUUUGUAUAUGACGAUUUUUUUUUUCCUUUCUCGAAUCUUUUGGGAGCUUUGCUUUAUCCCUGGUGUUCUGAAAUUUUGCAAAGCUGUGUUUUAGCAUCUGGAUCUUUUUUCAUCUGUCCUGCUGGGCACCUAGUGGGCCUUUUCAAUCUGAAACUCAUAUUUUUCAGUUCUCGAAAUUUACUUACAAUGUGUCUGAUAAUUUCCUACCUUCUGUUUUUUCUAGUCUCUGGAAUUCUCUUUUAUCACAGAUUGGACCUCUUAAGGUCUCCUACUUUCCAUCUUUUAAUCUUUCCUACUCUCUAGAAGAUUUCCUUGACUUUACCUUCUGAUCUUUCUGUGGCAUGGAUUUCAUCUAUUUGAUUUUUAAAGAAUUUUUCUCUCAUUCCUUUUUAAUAAAGCUAUCCACUUUUAUGAUACAAACCUUUUCUCUCUCUGAAGAUAUUAGAGUUUGGGGGCAUUCAUUUUUGUUUUUUUCUGAUCCCAACAUCGUCUCUGUUCCCUCUGUGUUCCCUAAGAGUGAGACACUGAAACACUGAUUGUCGGGGUGUGCAGGGCAGAGCUGGGUGGCCUGUAGGCCUUGGGGUGGUAAAUAUUAGGGCCGCAAGCCAGGUUUUUCAUUGUCUCCGCACCCCCCACCCCUCACCUCCCCACCCACCAGAUGUCACCGUAGGUCUUCUCUGCAGCCUCCCCGGGUCAGUUUCUCAAUACGGUGGGUGAACUUCAGAUGUCCUGUCAACAAAGGUCUGGGUGUUGGGGUUGGUGGGACCCACUGGUCCAAUAAGUUGAAUACAAGCUGUCAGCUAACGCCUGUUUUUGGCUUCUUCCUCUCGUUCUGCAGUGGCUGAGCCUCCAUGUCCUGAGCUCUCUGGGACACAGGAGUUGCAGCUUCCCCUUCUCUGAUAAGUCAGAACGCCUUUACGUUUGCUUUGCAUCUUCCAGAAAUAUGUUGACAUCCCUCAUUUAUAUCUUUUUUUCCUCCUUCACUAUAAUUUUUAUUUUAGAAGGAAGAGGAAUUUUAUAUGUGCAUUUAUUCUGUCUUAUUUAAUUGGAAAUCUUUUUUUUUAAUAUGUUACAUAAAAUUAUCAACUUUCCUUUCUUAGGGAGGACUGCCCUUUUCUGAAAUUAUUUGCUUCCUCCUUUCUUUCUGUUAAACCCUCCUUUCUAAAAUAAUAGUGAUAUUAGGAGGUAGUUGGGGGUCUUUUUUUUUUUAAGUUGACCCCAGAACGUAUUUAAAAAUUUUACUGGUCUUUGAAAUCUAAUAUCAGAAAACUAAUUACCUAGGCUUUUUUUUUUCUUUUUUCAUUUUUAAAUAAGCUGACUCUGAGGAGAGGGAUAAGGGCCAGAAGACAGGAUAGGAUUGAGGGAGAAGCUUUUCCAAGCUGAGAGAAACUUGAGCAUAGGCAGCCAGAGGGUUGAAGAAGUCAGUGUAGCAGAAUAUCAAAGAAAAUUAAUGGUGGCCUUUCCUGGAGAAGAAGGCAGUCAGAAGAGAUGGACUUGUUGAGAGGAGAAUUCACACCUGAUGGGCCUGUGUAUGCUUCCUAAAGUUGAAGGACUGGUCCAGAUCCCUGUGAGCAUGUACCAGACUGUGGUAACCAGCCUCGCCCAGGGCAAUGGGCCGGUGCAGGUGGCCAUGGCCCC